UGACGAUGCUGGUUAACUCUUGCAUAAGGGAUUUGGACACUACAGGGAUGAAAGAGUGAAGAUGCUGGUUAGCUCUUGCAUAAGGGGUUUGGACAGUAUAGGGAUGAAAGAGUGAAGAUGCUGGUUAACUCUUGCAUAAGGGGUUUGGACAGUAUAGGGAUGAAAGAGUGAAGAUGCUGGUUAACUCUUGCAUAAGGGGUUUGGACACUACAGGGAUGAAAGAGUGAAGAUGCUGGUUAACUCUUGCAUAAGGGGUUUGGACAGUAUAGGGAUGAAAGAGUGAAGAUGCUGGUUAACUCUUGCAUAAGGGGUUUGGACAGUAUAGGGAUGAAAGAGUGAAGAUGCUGGUUAACUCUUGCAUAAGGGAUUUGGACAGUACAGGGAUGAAAGAGUGAAGAUGCUGGUUAACUCUUGCAUAAGGGAUUUGGACAGUACAGGGAUGAAAGAGUGAAGAUGCUGGUUAACUCUUGCAUAAGGGGUUUGGACAGUAUAGGGAUGAAAGAGUGACGAUGCUGGUUAACUUUUGCAUAAGGGAUUUGGACAGUAUAGGGAUGAAAGAGUGAAGAUGCUGGUCAACUCUUGCAUAAGGGGUUUGGACAGUAUAGGGAUGAGCAUGAGUAGAAAGUCGCGUGCAGCGGGGCCGCGGGAGGGGGGGAGGCAUGCUGUUAGUAAGUUCAGAAGAGCAGUCAGCGUGAAAAUAUCGAUAGAGAGGCAACAUUAAGGUGCAGGAAGGGCACGGUUAGAUCACUUCCCCUUUAACUUAACCCCCUUUGGCAUCCACCCGGCCUGUCACGAUCUGCUUUACGACCCUCUUAACCUUAAUUGAGGGAGUGGCGCGAUGGUACACUAUCUUAAAGCGUCGCCCGUGGAGGGUCAGAGCCAGGGUACACGGGUUCGAUUCCCACUGAUGUCAGAAAGGGUAUUUGGGAGGAAUGAAUGAAUGGCGUGGUGGCUGAGUGGCUUGGAGUGUCUCGCCGUGGUCAGGGUACCCCAGUUCGAAUCCCAGUGAGGUCAAAAAAGGUUAGUUAGUCGAAAAAUAAGGUCAGGAAGGUCAGUUUUUCGGGAAUGGCGCGGUGGUUGAGUGAUUAAGUGAUUCGCUAUGGAAAUAAAGUCAGGGUACACCAGUUCGAAUCCCAGUGAGGUCAAAAAAUGUUAAGUUAGUCGAAAAAUAAGGUCAGGAAGGUCAGUUUUUCGAGAGUGGCGCGGUGGUUGAGUGGCUGUGUCUCGCCAUGGAAGGAAGAGUCAGGAUACACCAGUUCGAAUCCCAGUGAGGUCAAAAAAGGUUACUUAGUCGAAAAAUAAGGUCAGGAAGGUCAGUUGUUUUCGAGAGUGGCCCGGUGGUUGAGUGGUUUAUUUUUUCGCCAAGGACGUUGAAAGUCAGGGUACACCAGUUCGAAUCCCAGUGAGGUCGAAAAAGGUUAGUUAGUCGAAAAAUAAGGUCAGGAAGGUCAGUUUUUCGAGAGUGGCGCGGUGGUUGAGUGGCUAAGUGUCUGGUCGUGGAAAUUUAAGUCAGGGUACACCAGUUCGAAUCCCAGUGAGGUCAAAAAAUGUUAAGUUAGUCGAAAAAUAAGGUCAGGAAGGUCAGUUUUUCGAGAGUGGCGCGGUGGUUGAGUGGAUUAUUGUUUCGCCAUGGAUGUUGAAAGUCAGGGUACACCAGUUCGAAUCCCAGUGAGGUCAAAAAAUGUUAAGUUAGUCGAAAAAUAAGGUCAGGAAGGUCAGUUUUUCGAGAGUGGAGCGGUGGUUGAGUGGCUGAGUGUCUGGUCGUGGAAAUUUAAGUCAGGGUGCACCAGUUCGAAUCCCAGUGAGGUCAAAAAAUGUUAAGUUAGUCGAAAAAUAAGGUCAGGAAGGUCAGUUUUUCGAGAGUGGCGCGGUGGUUGAGUGGCUGAGUGUCUCGCCGUGAAGUUGAAAGUCAGGGUACACGCGUUCGAAUCCCAGCGAAUAACAGAAACGAAAAAGGUAAAGAAAUAAUGGAUGAUUGAGUACAAGGUGAGAAUAAUGAUAAUAAUAAUAACAAUAAU